rnacentral:rRNA from 1 species
CCUACGGGAGGCAGCAGUGAGGAAUAUUGGUCAAUGGCCGGAAGGCUGAACCAGCCAUGCCGCGUGAAGGACAGCGCCCUAUGGGCGUUAAACUUCUUUUGUGCGGGAGCAAUAAUGGUCACGUGUGGCCAGACGAGAGUACCGUACGAAUAAGCAUCGGCUAACUCCGUGCCAGCAGCCGCGGUAAUACGGGGGGUGCAAGCGUUAUCCGGAUUUAUUGGGUUUAAAGGGUGCGUAGGCUGGGAGGUAAGUCAGCGGGGAAAUGCCCCCGCUCAACGGGGUGAAGUGCCAUUGAUACUGGCUUGCUGGAGUGCGCAUGACGUGGGAGGAAUGUGUGGUGUAGCGGUGAAAUGCAUAGAUAUCACGCAGAACACCGAUUGCGAAGGCAUCUCACGAAUCCGCGAUUGACGCUGAUGCACGAAAGCGUGGGUAUCAAACAGGAUUAGAUACCCGGGUAGUC